rnacentral:rRNA from 1 species
AUGAGGCGACGACAUGAGCUGCUGGUCUCGCCGUCUUGUUGCUUGAUCGGCCUUGUGCUGCUGCUGCUCGCGCUGUCUGCUCGAGCUCAGCGGCAAGCACAGACAGGUCCGUCUGAAGUGGCCGCGCUGAACACCAUCUUCUCACGGUGGGGCCUGCGGGCGUCCACGGCGUGGAACAUCAGCGGCGAGCCUUGCAGCGGUGCCGCCAUCAACGAAACCGCCAUGGAUUCAGACAACGAAUUCAAUCCGGCCAUUAACUGCGUCUGCUCCUACAACAUCAGCACCGUCUGCCACAUCACCAGGCUGAGAGUAUAUGCACUAGAUGUGGUUGGUCAGAUUCCCGCGGAACUGCUAAAUUUAACUUACCUGACAGUACUGGAUUUAUCCCAGAAUUACUUGACAGGAUCUUUGCCAGCAUUUCUUGGAAAGCUGACUCGGUUGCAGUAUCUAAGUUUGAGUAUCAAUGCAUUAACUGGAGUUUUACCGAGCGAGCUGGGUAACCUCAAGAAUCUCAUUUCUCUGGGCGUUAGCACAAAUAAGUUUGUCGGUCCACUCCCCGAAGUAGUAGAAAACUUGACCAAACUUGAGCAACUGUAUAUCGAUAGUUGUGGUUUAAGUGGAGAGCUACCAUCUUCCUUUUCCAAACUUAAGAACCUGAAAUCCCUAUGGGCAUCAGAUAAUGGGUUUACUGGGAAGAUACCUGAUUACAUUGGAAGCUUAUCAAAUUUGCAGGAUCUGAGACUCCAUGGAAAUAACUUUGACGGUCCCAUUCCUGCAAGUUUUUCUAAUCUUAUCAACUUGACAAAUUUGAGAAUUGGUGAUUUAACGGGAGAGCUGUCUUCAUUGGCUUUUGUGGUUAACAUGACGUCGUUGUAUACUCUAGAUCUGAGAAACUCCAGGAUAUCUGACAACCUUGCUUCAGUGGACUUCUCAAAAUUUGUUAACCUCAAUUAUCUGGACUUGAGUUUUAACAGCAUCACAGGCAAAGUUACUCCAAACCUUCUGAACCUGAAUCCCCUCGAAUUCCUAUUUCUUGGGAGUAAUAACCUCUCUGGGAUCCUACCAGAUAUGAUUAGCCCUUCACUUACUACUAUUGAUCUGUCAUACAAUAUGCUCUCAGGAAGAUACCCUUCUUGGGUUAACAUGAAUAACUUACAUGUGAAUUUGGUGUGGAACAACUUUGGGAUAGAUAACUCGAACAACAGUAUUUUGCCUUCAGGACUAAAUUGUCUUCAGCGAGAUACUCCAUGUUUUGAUUCUCCAUCUUAUUCCUCCUUUGCGGUAGACUCUGGUGGUUCGAGACCCAUCAGAGGCUCAGACAACUCCAUUUACGAACCUGAUGAUGCCAGUCUUCCAGUUGCAUCAUACUAUGUUACGAACUCAACAAGAUGGGGCGUUAGCAACAUCGGGAGAUUCAUGGACUCGUCUAAUGGGAGUUAUAUAAUAUACACUUCUCGCCGGUUUACCAACACACUUGAUUCUGAACUAUUUCAGACAGCCAGAAUGUCACCCUCUUCAUUGAGAUACUACGGCAUUGGGCUCAAGAAUGGCAUGUACAGCGUUGUACUUCAAUUUGCAGAGAUUUUUUUCCCAGAUGACCAGACAUGGAAAAGCAUGGGAAAGAGGAUUUUCAAUAUAUAUAUCCAGGGAGAUCUUAAAGAAACAGAUUUCGAUAUAAAGAAACAAACAAAUGGAAAAUCUUAUACUGCUGUUCAAAGACAGUACACUGUUGAAGUAACGAAUAAUUUCAUUGAUAUUCAUCUCUUUUGGGCUGGAAAGGGCACUUGUUGCAUUCCUGACCAAGGGUUCUAUGGGCCAUCGAUAUCAGCAUUAAGCGUAUCUUCUUAUGAUGGCAACGGUGAAGGGGAUCCUGGUUCACAGAGAAACAGCACUACCAGUAGAACAGGUUUGGUUGUUGGAGUUGUAGUCUGUGUUGCAAUUUUAGGAUUUCUAGCACUCGCUGGGGCCUUUGUUUGGAGGCAGAAAAGAAGAAGGCUAGAGGUGGAAAUGGAAGAGCUGUUCAGUAUAGUUGGAAGGCCUAACGUCUUCAGUUACGGUGAAAUAAAGUCUGCUGCUGACAGUUUUAGUGAUAGCAACAUUCUCGGAAGAGGGGGAUAUGGACCUGUUUACAAGGCAAGACAGACUUGA